rnacentral:rRNA from 1 species
UAGGGAAUCUUCCACAAUGGACGAAAGUCUGAUGGAGCAACGCCGCGUGAGUGAAGAAGGGUUUCGGCUCGUAAAACUCUGUUGUUAAAGAAGAACAUAUCUGAGAGUAACUGUUCAGGUAUUAAGACGGUAUUUAACCAGAAAGCCACGGCUAACUACGUGCCAC